AUUGAACGCUGGCGGCAUGCUUUACACAUGCAAGUCGGACGGCAGCACAGAGAAGCUUGCUUCUUGGGUGGCGAGUGGCGAACGGGUGAGUAAUAUAUCGGAACGUACCGAGUAAUGGGGGAUAACUAAUCGAAAGAUUAGCUAAUACCGCAUAUUCUCUGAGGAGGAAAGCAGGGGACCUUCGGGCCUUGCGUUAUUCGAGCGGCCGAUAUCUGAUUAGCUAGUUGGUGGGGUAAAGGCCUACCAAGGCGACGAUCAGUAGCGGGUCUGAGAGGAUGAUCCGCCACACUGGGACUGAGACACGGCCCAGACUCCUACGGGAGGCAGCAGUGGGGAAUUUUGGACAAUGGGCGCAAGCCUGAUCCAGCCAUGCCGCGUGUCUGAAGAAGGCCUUCGGGUUGUAAAGGACUUUUGUCAGGGAAGAAAAGGCUGUUGCUAAUAUCGACAGCUGAUGACGGUACCUGAAGAAUAAGCACCGGCUAACUACGUGCCAGCAGCCGCGGUAAUACGUAGGGUGCGAGCGUUAAUCGGAAUUACUGGGCGUAAGCGAGCGCAGACGGUUACUUAAGCAGGAUGUGAAAUCCCCGGGCUCAACCUGGGAACUGCGUUCUGAACUGGGUGACCAGAGUGUGUCAGGGGGAGGUAGAAUUCCACGUGUAGCAGUGAAAUGCGUAGAGGUGUGGAGGAAUACCGAUGGCGAAGGCAGCCUCCUGGGAUAACACUGACGUUCAUGCUCGAAAGCGUGGGUAGCAAACAGGAUUAGAUACCCUGGUAGUCCACGCCCUAAACGAUGUCAAUUAGCUGUUGGGCAACUUGAUUGCUUAGUAGCGUAGCUAACGCGUGAAAUUGACCGCCUGGGGAGUACGGUCGCAAGAUUAAAACUCAAAGGAAUUGACGGGGACCCGCACAAGCGGUGGAUGAUGUGGAUUAAUUCGAUGCAACGCGAAGAACCUUACCUGGUCUUGACAUGUACGGAAUCCUCCAGAGACGGAGGAGUGCCUUCGGGAGCCGUAACACAGGUGCUGCAUGGCUGUCGUCAGCUCGUGUCGUGAGAUGUUGGGUUAAGUCCCGCAACGAGCGCAACCCUUGUCAUUAGUUGCCAUCAUUUAGUUGGGCACUCUAAUGAGACUGCCGGUGACAAGCCGGAGGAAGGUGGGGAUGACGUCAAGUCCUCAUGGCCCUUAUGACCAGGGCUUCACACGUCAUACAAUGGUCGGUACAGAGGGUAGCCAAGCCGCGAGGUGGAGCCAAUCUCACAAAACCGAUCGUAGUCCGGAUUGCACUCUGCAACUCGAGUGCAUGAAGUCGGAAUCGCUAGUAAUCGCAGGUCAGCAUACUGCGGUGAAUACGUUCCCGGGUCU
rnacentral:rRNA from 1 species